rnacentral:sRNA from 1 species
UUGCUAACAACUGCCCGAGCGCCUCCGAA